CAUGAAGUCGGAAUUGCUAGUAAUCGUAGGUCAGCAUACUACGGUGAAUACGUUCCCGGGCCUUGUACACACCGCCCGUCAAACCAUGAGAGUUGGCAACACCCGAAGUCGGUAGUCUAACCGCAAGGAGGACGCCGCCGAAGGUGGGGGUUGAUGAUUAGGGUUAAGUCGUAACAAGGUAGC
rnacentral:rRNA from 1 species